ACUCUGAGGAUAACCUCGCUAUGUGGUAUUAUUUAUAAGAGAAAAGGAAGAGAUUUUUCUCUAUUGGAUGUAACUUCACAACAUUGCAUUUUGUCCUAGUUUUAUCAAGCCAGUGCAGGUUUCCCGUGGGGCCCUGUGCACAACCCUUGCUCUUCAGCAGCGCUGGCACCACACUGAUGCUGAAGCCCCAUUCUCAUAGCAGACUCUUUGUUGGACUGCCCUGGUGUUCCCUCCUACCCUGUACUUCAUAUUCAGCACGCUGUGCUGGGGCUUAUAACUCAUGUCAUUGUCAUUUCAGGUUACGGAGCUCUGAUCUUGUGCUGUUCUUUCCUAAACACAUGUGCUCUGAAUGCCUCCCAUUUGUGUUAACCCACAAUUCAGUAAAUGGUAGAGUAAACAACCAGAGUGACUGCAACAUUGCAAUUGUUAGUCUCCUUUUGCACAGCAGUGUACACCCACUAAGUAUUGUUAUAUAUUUAAUCCACAACCAUAAAACCCAUUCACAGCUUAAGGUGUUUUCUUUUCCUAAGACCACCUCAAAAACCCCCAUACAAUUACUACUUAUAAAACUCCAACAUUUCUAGCAACUGAUUUUGUUGGCUCCAUCCUUCCCUUUUGGUCUUGCUGCUUGCAUCCCACUUAAUUUUUAAUAUCUUUCCUUGGUUUUGUCUUUUUUCCUGAAGUUCUUCUGCAGAGCAGCAUUGUCCUGCAAGACCAGUUUGCCGGUGCCCAGGUACUACAUAAAGACAACUUGAGAUGUUAUGUGUGCAUCUUGUAAGUUUGGGAAGGGUCUCGUGUCUACAUCAUAUUUUUUUUCUUGUCUGGAACUCUUCUAAAUAAGUUAAUGAAAAAUAAAUGAAGUUGUGUGUUGAUCAUCCUUUUGGUUACCUUACCAAGUCGAUAACCAGCUGCUGGCCUUCAGUGUGAAGUGCCAGGUCCUUUGGUGCCUGACAUUGAGAGUAAGCCUGGGGCUGCUCACUUCAGCUCUGCCCCUUGUCUCAACUGCUCAGGUUUUUCCCCUCUUUAUGAUUUCCAGUUUCUUUUCUGUUUUGGACUCUGACAAUGCCUAGGUCAUCGGUGUCUGAAAGCAGAAGAUAUGAGGGGCUGUCCAAACUGAAGCCAGAUUCCCUGAGAAUUCAAUAUCCAACGUCGGAUUCACUUCUGACAGGUUGGCAUGGACUGCAGUGAACGAGCACCAUGUCUCCAUAUGAGAGUGUUGGGUGUGCAUCUUUGCUCUUAGUCUGGAGCAACCCUCGAAACAAAAAGGUUUUUGGGCUUCCAGACCCAGCCAAAGCUCUGAGAAACUAAAAUGGUGCAGUACCCAGCAAUCAACACUGACAAUCUGUAGCUGUGCAUCAAGCUGCUGCCCAGCAGAGCCCGGUGGUGGUGGUGGUGGCGUGAGAAGCAGGAGGGAGAGGAAGGGAUGCUGAGGAGCGGGGUGGUCGCAGUGUUGUCAGGAGAGAUGGCCAAGGACAAAAGUCAGUUCAGGGGACCUGAUGAAACAAAUCCACAGGAGUUGGACUCUUCAUGCAUUGCAAACUGAAGAAAGAGCUAAAUCCAUGUGCUACAGAUGCUUGCUGAGUGCAGUUGGAUGCAUAUUUCCAGGAACAGAAACUCACCCU